GACAGAGGGUGCAAACGUUGUUCGGAAUUACUGGGCGUAAAGCGCGUGUAGGCGGCUCGGAAAGUCGGAUGUGAAAGCCCUGGGCUCAACCUAGGAAGUGCAUUCGAAACUUCCGAGCUGGAGUGCUGGAGAGGAAGGCGGAAUUCUCGGUGUAGAGGUGAAAUUCGUAGAUAUCGAGAGGAACACCGGUGGCGAAGGCGGCCUUCUGGACAGCCACUGACGCUGGAGACGCGAAAGCGUGGGGAGCAAACAGG
rnacentral:rRNA from 1 species